UAGUGCGGCGAGCGAGCGGGAAGAGCUCAAAUUUAUAAUCUGGCACCUUCGGUGUCCGAGUUGUAAUCUCUAGAAGUGUUUUCCGCGUUGGACCGCACACAAGUCUGUUGGAAUACAGCGGCAUAGUGGUGAAACCCCCGUAUAUGGUGCGGACGCCCAGCGCUUUGUGAUACACUUUCAAUGAGUCGAGUUGUUUGGGAAUGCAGCUCAAAUUGGGUGGUAAAUUCCAUCUAAAGCUAAAUAUUGGCGAGAGACCGAUAGCGAACAAGUACCGUGAGGGAAAGAUGAAAAGCACUUUGGAAAGAGAGUUAACAGUACGUGAAAUUGUUGGAAGGGAAACGCUUGAAGUCAGACUUGCUUGCCGGAGCUUGCUUCGGUUUGCAGGCCAGCAUCAGUUUUCCGGGGUGGAUAAUGACGGUUUGAAGGUAGCAGUCUCGGCUGUGUUAUAGCUUUCCGUUGGAUACAUCCUGGGGGACUGAGGAACGCAGCGUGCUUUUUGCGAAAGACUCGUCUUUUUCACGCUUAGGAUGCUGGUGGAAUGGCUUUAAACGACCCGCUGA
rnacentral:rRNA from 1 species